CGGAUCAUAGUAUUUCUGUCUCUUUCCCAUUUCCCAAACAGAAAGGGGAAGUGGUCACAACAGACCCAAUCUCAGAACCAACCACAAAUCCCUACUAGGGGGACUGAAACUUCACCACCACAUUUGAGGACAGAAAACACCAGCCCAUCUGCUGCCGGGGCUGCUGCUCCUGCUGGGAGGCUGCACCGCAAUGGGAUUUCCCAAAGCCCCCCCUCCUCCCCCCACUCUACUUUGCAUAUUUUAUUAAUAAAUACAAGAUGGCAUAGGGUGUCAAAUAAUGGAAUCUGUAGCUGGCCCCGGAGCACAGCCGAUGCAAAGAGAGAAAGAAGAUCCAGGCAAGGAGAGCUGGUGCCCUGCCGGCAGGCUGGCCGCUGGAGUGGAUGCCCGGAGCACUGCCUGUCCCCCCCCCCCCAACCCUUCCCAGGCCAGCUCCCCACCCCGGUCCGCAGAGCUGAAGGUCAGCGCCAAGAGCCCCCGCUGCCCUGCACACCCCUAGCCCACCUUCACCUCCCCUGGCCAAGGGGCCCUGGCCGGGAGGGCAGGGAAGCCCGGGAUGCCCAGGGUUUGCGGCCGGGUUUAAAGGGACAGGCAUACCUGCUGCUGCUGCUGCUGCUGCUGCUGCUGCUGCUGCUGCUGCUACUGCUGCUACUGCUGCUGCUGGGGAUGCUGAGGCGGUUUGGGGAUGCUGAGAUAGCCCGGGAUGCUGAGGUGUCUGGGGAUGUUGAGAUAGCCGGGGAUGCUGGCCAGGGUGCUGGUCCUCCCGCCCUGGGCUGCUGCGAGGACAACGACGCCAGGCAGCCGGCAGCGGCUCGGGCUCAGGCUCCCGGGGCUCCCCUCUCCCCCCGCCCCCUUCCCCCGGGGCACUCGUCCCUCCGCCCACUUCGCGCGUGGCGGCACGGGCACGCUCUCAAGCUCGCUCCUCCACGGGGCGCGCCGGGAGGGCUCGGGGGCGCGCGGGGGGCGGGGGCGGGCGUGGACACAGCAGCGGGGGCGGGGGCGGGGGCGCCCUGGCCGACUGGACAACGGAGCGUGGGUGGGGGGAGGGCACGUCACGUGCUGGGGAGGCCUCUGACGUAUAAUGAUGAUGAGAAUAACACUGAGAAGAAGAGCUCCAGGGACCGGGGCAGGUCCCCAGCCUAUUUCACAGAUGAGAAGACUGAGGUUCCUUGA
rnacentral:lncRNA from 1 species